UACAGAGGCCCCGAGCGUUAUCCGGAAUCAUUGGGCGUAAAGAGUUCGUAGGCGGUUAUGUGCGUCUGCUGUUAAAUAGUUGGGCUCAACCCAACUGAUGCAGUGGAUACGACAUAACUUGAGGCAGGAAGAGGUAGACGGAACUCAUGGUGAAGCAGUGAAAUGCGUUGAUAUCAUGGGGAACACCAAUUGCGAAGGCAGUCUACUGGUCCUGUCCUGACGCUGAGGAACGAAAGCGUGGGGAGCGAAGCGG
rnacentral:rRNA from 1 species